rnacentral:rRNA from 1 species
UACGAAGGGGGCUAGGCGUUGCUCGGAAUUACUGGGCGUAAAGGGCGCGUAGGCGGACAGUUAAGUUGGGGGUGAAAGGCCCGGGGCUACAACCGUCGGAAUUGCCUUCAAUACUGGCUGUCUUGAGUGCGGGAGAGGUGUGGUGGAACUCCGAGUGUAGAGGUGAAAUUCGUAGAUAUUCGGAAGAACACCAGUGGCGAAGGCGACACACUGGCCCGUUACUGACGCUGAGGCGCGAAAGCGUGGGGAGCAAACAGGG